rnacentral:rRNA from 1 species
GAUGAACGCUAGCGGCAGGCUUAAUACAUGCAAGUCGUGGGGCAGCAGCUCUGUAGCAAUACAGAGGCUGGCGACCGGCAAACGGGUGCGGAACACGUACGCAACUUACCCAUAACUGGUGAAUAGCCCUCCGAAAGGAGGAUUAAUACAUCGUAACAUAAUGAGAUGGCAUCAUUUUAUUAUUAUAGCUCCGGCGGUUAUGGAUGGGCGUGCGGCUGAUUAGGUAGUUGGCGGAGUAAUAGCCCACCAAGCCUACGAUCAGUAACUGGUGUGAGAGCACGACCAGUCAC